rnacentral:rRNA from 1 species
UUCUGGCUCAGGAUGAACGCUGGCGGCGUGCUUAACACAUGCAAGUCGAACGAAGCUCCUUGAACUGAAGAUUCGUCUGAUGGGAUAGGAAGACUUAGUGGCGGACGGGUGAGUAACGCGUGGGUAACCUGCCGUAUACAGGGGGAUAACAGUUAGAAAUGACUGCUAAUACCGCAUAAGCGCACAGUGAGGCAUCUCACAGUGUGAAAAACUCCGGUGGUAUACGAUGGACCCGCGUCUGAUUAGCCAGUUGGCAGGGUAACGGCCUACCAAAGCGACGAUCAGUAGCCGGCCUGAGAGGGUGAACGGCCACAUUGGGACUGAGACACGGCCCAAACUCCUACGGGAGGCAGCAGUGGGGAAUAUUGCACAAUGGGGGAAACCCUGAUGCAAGCGACGCCGCGUGAGUGAAGAAGCAUUUCGGUGCGUAAAGCUCUAUCAGCAGGGAAGAAAAUGACGGUACCUGACUAAGAAGCCCCGGCUAACUACGUGCCAGCCGCAGC